rnacentral:piRNA from 1 species
UGAGUGAGUUGGUGAGCCAAAGAGGUCACU